UUAUCUGGAUUGUUAAGGAGCCACAACCCUGCCUAUGCUCAUACUGAACAAUGUGUGGAAUGUUGUACGUCUGAUGCUUGCAAUCAUAAAGGAUGUGGGGGAAUAGACUAUCCAAGUAGAAGAGGUCCGCUCUGUUUCAACUGUCCUCAAUCAGCAGACCCUACAGUUUGUAGUUCUGUCAAAGUCUGUGACGAAAAUGAGAUAUGUCAUCUCCGAGAGGAAGUUGAAUUUGGUGACUCCAUAUUUAUACAAUCCUGC